ensembl:lncRNA
AUGGGGACCCCAGGUCGCCCGGGGGAUGGCGCGUGCGUCCCGAGGACGCCGUGUUCGGGCUCGCGCAGGCCCCUCCCGGGUCACGGCCCGGGAUACGUGAGCCGGGCACCCAGCGGCGUCGGGGGGGGGCGGCCCGCGGGACGCGGGUGCGGGGCACGGAGGCGGCCGGGUCAUACCACCGCGCCGCUGGGAGGGGGCAGCUCCCACCCGGCCCUGCCGCCCCACACACAACCGCGGGCGGAGGACCCGGCGCCAGGCUGUGCCCUACGCCCAGCCCAGAAGCCCCGCGAGCCCGGGCCGUACCACCGCGAGGCGGGAGGAGGGCCACCUCGGGCCGUACCAUCCGCCAGGCUGGGGGACGCGCCCUGGCCCCGCCGCGCCCUCGCAGCUGGCGCCCCGCAGGCCCCGCCCGGCAGGUGCCGCCCCUCCCCGGGCCGACGUGCAGAAAAGAACGCGCCAGCCUCGCCCGCGAAGGGCCGCGCGGCGGUGGGCGGGGCGUCGCGAAUCCCCCUCGCGCCCACUGGCUGCGUUGCGGUAGGGCGGGCCCGGCUCGGCCGGCCAUUGGCUAUGGGACCAUGUCAUUUGCAUACAGGGCUGGGCGUGGGGCGGCUGGGCCCGGGGCGGGCAGGGGGCGCGAGGGUGCCCGCGGCCGCAGCUGAAGUUGGACCGAGAGCCGGCGACGACCCCGCGCCGGGGUCGCAGGUGACGCGCGAGGGAUCCCAGGACCAUCCUCCUGAGGGCCACCCCUGGGGACUUCCUCCUGGAAGAGAGUGACGGAUUUGGUGCUUCUGUGUUUCUGCUGCUUCAGUGGGGCCACUGCAGGAAUCGGCGCAUGGACCCUCCAGCGGCCUGUCUGCUGAGCCUGCCUUCUGAAGUCCACUGUGAAAAUCAGGACCAGGGCGAGUCCGAGCCUACAGGCCCUGUCCCCCCUCCCCAGGUCUGCAGGAGUUGAGGGCUGCACCUGCUCGCUGGAGAGGGAGAGGCAGAUUUAGUGGAUGCCUGGCAUGGACUCAAACUGGUCUUUGGAAGCUCCCUGUCCUGACGGGGUUGCCUGUCACCACUGCGUACCGAGACUUGCCAGGAUCUGCACCUGGGAAAGGCUGUGUGUGGUCUUGGGGUCCACACCUGCAGAGCUGACUUACUGCCAGACGGUGACUUACUGUGGGCCACGCUCAGUGAACCGGGGUGUCCUCAGCCGGCCCUACAAAGCACUUCUGUGCUGGGGAUGAGUAGGAACUCUGGGCGAGAAGGGCGCCAGCACUGCCCCUCGAUACAGCCUGGCUCUGCCCUCUGCCCAUACUUAUACCAGGUGGGAUCUCUGCCCUGCAUCGCCUGGGGAUUGGCUGGGCUUGGGUCCGCCCUGCUGUGGAACUGUAUGAUUUUAGGGAGCCCAGCCUUUCCUCACAUCAGCACAGUUCACAAUAUAGUUUUCAAAGUAUAGUUUAAAACUCAAAAGUAAACUUUUCAGCAACUCAAAGGUUUGCUGAGUGAUCUGAAGCAUUCUGGCAACUUUUUGGGGCCAUGGGAUUUGGUUCACCUGAAACAGCCAGUGAGACGUGGUGGCUCGCAUGCAUCCCAGUGCUUCAGGGGCCGGGAAGGCGGGUGAUCGAUCACUUGAGAUCAGGGUUUCCAAAGACCAGCCUGGGCAGCGUGGUGAAACCCCGUCUACUAAAAUACAAAAAUUAGCUGGGCAUGGGGCGUGGCAGUGGCUCAAGCCAUAAUCCCAGCACUUUGGGAGGCAGGCAGGUAGGAUCCGCAGUCCAGGAGGGUCGAGACCAUCCUGGCUAACAGGUGAAACCCGUCUCUACUAAAAUACAAAAACCUAGCCCGAGGCUGGCGGUGGCGGCUCCUGUAGAUCCCAGCUACGGGGAGGCUGAGGCGGAGAAUAGCGUGAACCCGGGAGGGCUUGCAGUGAGCUGAGAUCCGGCCACUGCACUCCAACCUGAGGCGACAAGCGAGACUCCGUCUCAAAAAAUUAGCUGGGCAUGGUGGUGGGCACCUGUAAUCAGCAGCUACUGGGAAGAGCUGGGGGCAAGGAAUCACUUGAACCUGGGGAGGUGGUGCAGCCAGAGACUGAAUUAUGCACACUCAGUCUGAGUGGCAGAGACUCUGUCUCAAAAAAUAAAAAAUGAAACAGCCAGUGAGGAGGAAGGCUCCCCGCCUUACCUACCCCGGAACACAGCGGCUGCUGGGACACCCUCUUGGUGGGGAAGAAGGCCGGUUAGCUUCAUCAGAGCUAGCAGCAGCAGACCAGGGACGGGCACCUAGGCAGUGGCCUCAAAAGGAACAGGUGUUCCUCAAAAACACAAAGGAAUAGCGUGUUGCAUUCUCUGCCAGCUCCAUGCCUGCUUCCCAUUGGGGGGCUGGGGCAUGUGGGGCAGAGCUCAUGACCCCCAGGAGGACAUGGGGGUGGGCUCCGGAUGGCACCUGGUAUUGCCCCCUGCUAGCCUGUGUGACGGUGUGGAGGGCUGGUCACAGAGGUACAACCAUCCCUCCAGAAUGUCAGUGGGGGCUGUGGAUGGAGGAUUAGGCCCCUCAGACCCCAGGCCUGCUGCCCAGGCACAACUCACUUGGCCUAUGCAUUCCAGGCUCCACCCCUUGUGACCCUGGGCUUAGCUCCAUCUGGGGCCACAGGUCAGGCAGGUCCAGGCCCCCAAGGACCUCCCAGGGACAGGCGACUGUGAGCCGGGCAGACAGGAGUGAGGUCAGGUGGGGGUUCCGGCUUGCUGACGCCAGUGUUUGGAGGCUUCCGCUGCUGCCUGGCCUCCCUGCAUUCCCUGUUCCCUGCCUCAGGCAGGAAAUAACCAAGCUGAGUUGCACCUGCACAGCAGUGAGCUCCUGGUGGUCCUGGCCUCUAGGAAGCCCUGUGGAUGGCUUCCCUGCCCAAGUUCAGGACUUCCUCGUUCCCUUUGUCUGCUCCAGAGAAAGGGGGCAGCACCAGACCCAGAUCCAGGGCCACCCAAGAGAAAGCUGAGUCCAUCCCAAACUCGCCCACUCUCAGAGCACAAAGACCCCAUGAUCUAGGGCAAGCUUGUCCAACUGUCAGCCCAUGGAGUGGCUUUGAAUGCAGCCCAACGCAAAUCUAAACUUUCUGAAACACUGUGAGGUUGUUUUUUUUUUUUUUUUUUUUUUGAGACUGAGUCUCCAUCUGUCACCCAGGCUGGAGUGCAGAGGUCCAGUUUGGGUUCACUGCAAGCUCUGCCUCCUGGGUUCACGCCACUCUCCUGCCUCAGCCUCCUGAGUAGCUGGGACUACAGGUACCUGCCACCACGUCCAGCUAAUUUUUUAUAUUUUUAGUAGAGACAGGGUUUCACCGUGUUAGCCAGGAUGGUCUCGAUCUCCUGACCUCGUGAUCCGCCCACCUCGGCCUCCCAAAGUGCUGGGAUUACAGGCAUGAGCCACUGUGCCUGGCCAACAUUGCAAUAUUUUUUUUUACGAUUUUUUCUUUAAGCUCAUCAGCUAUUAGUGUAUUCCAUGUGUGGCCCAAGACAAUUCUUCCAGUGUGGCCCAGGGAAGCCAAAAGAUUGGACACCCCUGACCUAGGGCAUCCCCAUCCUCUGUCCCAAUCCUACCCAUGGCUGUACCCAGGUGUAGGGGUCCCCCACAUUCUUCUCUAACUCUAACCAUGGCCCCUGGAGUUGGGGGUGUAUGGCUUACCCUGAGGACCAGGAGAGGUGACAGCUAGCCCAAGGGCCCAGGCAGGGGCUGGGCUGGGAUGUGGACACGAUUUUUUUUUAUUUUGGAGACAGAGUCUUGCUCUGUCACCCAGGCUGGAGUGCAGUGGCGCGAUCUCGGCUCACCGCAACGUCCACACCCCGGGUUCAUGCCAUUCUCCUGCCUCAGCCUCCCGAGUAGCUGGGACUACAGGUGCCCACCAUCAUGCCCAGUUAAUUUUUUGUAUUUUUAGUAGAGACAGGGUUUCACCAUGUUAGCCAGGAUGGUUUCGAUCUCCUAACCUCAUAAUCCAUCCACCUCAGCCUCCCAAAGUGCUGGGAUUACAGGUGUGAGCCACCGCGCCUGGCCAAUUUUUUGUAUUUUUAGUAGAGAUGAGGUUUCAUCACGUUGGCCAGGCUGGUCUCUAACUCCUGAUCUCAGUUGAUCCACCCCCUUCAGCUUCCCAAAGUGCUGGGAUUAUAGGUGUGGGCCACCGUGCCCGGCCCCUGCCCCAAUUUCAAAGCUUCAAGCUCAUAGCAGACAUUUCACACCCACCUGGGGAGGAGGGGGGAGCCCCUGCCCACUAGUACCCAUGCCCUCCCUGGGGUGGUGAAGUGGACUGGGCCUGGCUGACCUGAGUCUGGGACCCGCCCCCACAAGUUCUCAGUAAACCUGACGGGCGGGUCUAGCUUGUCCUGGUGUCCUCAGUUCCUGCUGCUGGUGGGGCCCAGGCAACAGGAUGACGGAAGUCAGGUGGGAGGGGGUGCAGACAAGCCCAGGACAGUCAGGCUGGGCUGAACCAGCAGGCCCACCAGGCUGGGGCCUCACAGGAGAGCCCCUGGGGUUAGGUGAGGCAGAGCAGGUGGAAUGUGGAGCCCAGGAAGCCCCAGCCCGGGGCCCUACUGAGCACUGGUGCCUGAGGGACCCAAUUCUCAGACACUCCAGCUGUGGCAUGCCCCAGGUGUCUCACGGUACUGCUCAGUGGCACCCCGUGGAGGCUCAAGUUCAAGACCUCAGACCCUGCCCGGCGCAGCUUCGGCACACAAGCCGCUUCCGGCAGUUUAUUGAGGUUUUCACGUUGGGGUAGGGGAAGUGGCACACACGUGCUUUUGCCGUGUACACACAGUGAAGGACCCCUCCCAUAGGCAAGCACAUGCUCACAGCUUGAGCACACUGUCCAUGCAUCUCCUGUCCCCAACAGGCAGUCAUGGCCUUUGGGGCCUGGCAGGUUCUGAGCUGGCUACGCCCCAUGCUUUUCCAGGGUGCUGGCAGACCGGCAAGGACUAGGGCAGUCCCCCCCGUACCCCAGCUCCUGAGGCCAAACCCAGGGCUUCCCACUGUGUGGGGGAGGAGCCCUCUGUGACCGCCAACUCUCCUUCUGUGGUCUGGGCAGGCUGGUC